rnacentral:lncRNA from 1 species
UGAAUACCUUUUGAUCGACAUGUAUAACAAAAUAAAUAUAAUCAAAAAGUUUAAGCAAUGCUUUAAUUGUGGCCACUCAGUGGCCUUUAGGUCAAAUAGGAUUGUUAGUAUGCUAUUUUUCAUCUGUUUGUACUUUGAUGAGUGACUGUGGAUCUACAGCAGCUUAAUAACAUUUCUGAUCCGUUGAGCAGUUUGAUUUAAUACAACAAAUUGCAAUUUAGUCAAAAUGUUCAUUUAAUUACAAUAGGUGGACAACAAGACUUAGAAUCGAGUCACUGUAAAAUGAUUUAAUGAAUAGUAUUGAGACAUUGUUAACAAUGGAAUAGGGAAUUCCGUUUUCUACAAAAGCUCUGAUUGUCAAUUUUAUCACAAUAACAGGAUCCUUCAAAUAUAUCGUACCAAAUUUCAGUUUACCUGGUCAUAACAAAUAUAGGCACCGUUGGAAAACAAAGAAAAAAUGAAUCAAUAAAAAUGUAAGCCUUUUAUAUAAUUAUUCGAAUGUAACAUAAACUAUCUAAAAAAAACAUUAUCACUUAAGUAAACAGACAAGCAGCUUUAAAUGUAAUAUAAAUAUAAUGCAUGUAAAAUAAAUUAUACUGUAGAUGUCAUUUCCAGGCAUUUAUAUUUUUAAAGCCCAAUACAUCUUAAACAACGGUUAAUUCCUUUCUAUUAACUGGUAUGGUCGAUCUUGAGAACUGAAAGGUCAAUUCAUUCAAUUUAUACAAUAAAAGGAGUGAUAUUAGUGGUUUAAAUCGUCCUUUUACAUGUUAGUCUUAUUUUAACUCAUAAAAUGGUGUAUAAGUACUGUUUAUUUACAUCAAACGUCAAUUGAGUCGUCAAUUGAGUCGUCAAUUAAUGUCAUCAAUUUGCCUUUAUAACUUACUAUUAAGCAUUGGUUUUGUAUUUUUUUGAAAGCUGCAUAGUUACCUAUAUUUGUUCCCUUUGGUAGAGAGUUGUCUAGUUGGCAAUCACAUCACACCUCCUUAUUUUAUAUCCAGAAUUAAGUUUACAUAAAAAGAUCUUUUUUGCCAUACAAGACCAACGUUUUUUUCAAAACUUACAUCAAAUACAUUAAUGCGAUAUAAAACCUUAAAGCACAUCCAUUUGUUUAACAGUGAUAAAAUCAAAAUUGCUAUUACAUGUCUAUCAAUUUUUAUGAAUUGCAUUUGGCAGCUUCCAUAUUGCAGAUAUGAAAUGGAUUUGGCUACGUUUUGAUUUACAAGAAUUUCAUUUGUCAAGUAAUAUCUCUUUAUUUCAAUCUGACUAAUGGCUUGACUAGCAGGUCAAAUUCAAUUCUGACCAGUUAUUGCAUAAAGUUUUUCACUAUAAACCACAAUAUACAAGGCUUAAACAUUGUGACUGAAACUCUUCUUUUUCUCCAUGAAAACCCUCUUUCAAAAAGAAACUAUAAAAACUAAACAUUAAUCUUUCCUUACAAAACCCAUGGUUCCAUGCCUGCAUGGAUUGUUACAUUCCAACGAGUCUGCACUAUAAAUCACAAACACCAGAGAUAUCAAUCAGCUCAUGAGAUCUGAAUGUUGUAACUCAUCAAAAAUCGUCCUACUAUUUUUAAUUGUUGCUUGAAAAUUCUUAUACCACCCACUGGAAACAAGUAAAAUAUUACUAUCAGCAACUGAUUAAAUAAUUUUGUGAAUAAAAGUAUAUGUAUGGUUCCACUUACAUCAUGAACAUUAAUAGGGCAGGUAGAUCCGCAAUUUCUCUGUUUUUUUUUCUGUUUAUAUGCUUGCUGUAGAAUAAACAUAUAUGUUACAUUUCUAGUUAGUUUUGUUGCAUUCUGUGAAGAAUUUGUUGCAUUUUAGUCUUAGUGGAUACUUUUAUAAUGAAAAUUAAGAUGACAGAAGUCUGUGAAUUUAAUUACUGAAAUUCAUAAUCCACAAAAUGGGAUCAUUCAAAAAUAAUUUUUCAAAUAUGGAAAAAAAAUCUAGGGUUCCAAGGGUUUAAACAAGGGUCAGUGGUAAGUCAAACUCCCAUUAAACUUUUAUUUUGCCUCAGGAGUCCUCACAUUCUCUUGGUAUCAUUAUAUUUAAAAUAGAGGUAAAGGAAAGUUACAAAUCUCAUAAACUGAUUGAUAUCUCUGUAAUCAACACAAGGCUUAUAUAUUUUUCUAUAUCUAAACAAUUUUCUUCUUCAAGGUGAUAAUAUAACUUCAAUAUCUCUUAUCAAAGAAUUCAAUAUCUACUUCCCAUAAAAUAUAAAUCUAAUGUUGAAUUAUAAAAUCAAGAAGCAUGCAUAAAUGAUCAGUGACACACUAAAAACAUUCUAAGCUUAACUCAAAUUUCUACUUAAAUCAUAUCAAUUCCAUUUAGGAAUUAAUCAACCACACUUAGAAAAAGGAGAGGGUUUCUGCAGUGUUGGGACAUCAAAUGACAGAAUUUUUUUAUUUUAAAAUGUUUCUUUUUUUAUCGUUUAUUCACAACUUCAUGAAUAAGUGGGUUUUUAAAGCCAAAAAAGAAAUAACAAUACAUGUCAAACUAAUACAGCUAUCAUAUGAAAACUAAAACAUGUGUUAACUCCAUUCCAGUAUAUUUGAAUACCUAUUUCCAAAUUACUACAUUGUUAUACUAUCUUCAUUCACUCAGUUGAACUGGUUUUAACAUAUUGAUAUUACAAUCUAAACGAGUCUUGUAAUAUCUUCUCAACAGCACUCUUAUCCAAUCAAACUACUUAAUAUGAUAAGAAUAACUUAGAUACCUCAUAAGCAUUGAAUUUAAUGUUUUCAAAGAGGCCAUAAAUAUGACCAGGCUACAAGAAAUAUUGAGAGUUCAGAAAAAUAUAAUACUAAUAAAAAUUCUAUUGCUUAUAAAAUUUUGCAAUCAUUCAAACAUUUUCUAUGAAAUGGUCAAUAUUUUCUUUUUAUGUCAUGACUUUGCUAAUCAGUAUUGAAAUGACAAACAAAUGAUAUAACAAACAAAAAUGUGUAGUUGGUCAUCAAGUUAUAUAAAUUAAAUAAAAAACAUGCUUAACUGUGUAUACAUGUUUUCCCUUUGAUACCGAUAACUUUUAUAUAUAAGGGACUAUUUCCGAUACAUUUCAGAUCAUGCUCAGUAUAAAUUAGUUCAACAAGGAAAAUGUGAUAAUUUCCUGUUAAGGUGGUACCCAACACUUUCAUUAAAAUUAAUUUGGCUCGUUUAAUUUUCAUAAAACUUUGUCAAAGUAUUUCCUUUGAGACUUUAAUAAAAAUAUAAAAUUUUUUGAGAACCAACCGUUUUGUCAGAAAAAUUACACUGGUUAUAUAGCAAUUUGACAAACACCAAUUUUGAUCAUUGAGAAGCUUAAUAUUCCUUUUACAACACAACGUAAUUAAAACGUUUAGCUGAUUUUACAGAGUUAUCUCCCUGUAGUGUUAGGUACCUCCUUAAGUAAGCAAAUGUAUCUUAGAUGUUCUCCUUGGUAUGGUCAUCUGUUUGCAUAGAAGAGUCUAAAGUGUUAAUUUCAUUCAGUAACUACAUACCAACAAUCAGUAAACCAGAAGUAAAUGUAUAGUUAAAACAGUUCCCCUUUAAUAUAAAUAAUAACUUGCAUACAUUCAAUUAAUUUGUCAAGUUUUCUAGAUUAGUGGUUGAGUAAACAUUUAAACUAAAAAUAUGUUAUUGUUGAUACCCUUAACAAAAACAAAAAUAUAAUCAAAACAAAUUUAAUAUCCAUCAAUUAUAACCUGAUUACACUGUACAUAACAGUGUAAAUUUGUAAGUUAUCACAGUUCAUUGUGCAUCAAUUUUUAUUUUAGAGUUACCCUUAAAUGUAAUAUACCCUCUGGCCUCUGUGCAUAAAUACAUUUUCAUUCAAAUAUGAUUUUAUAGUCAAAUAAUAUGGUUUUAUAUAUUUAUGUUAACCUGUCAUUUGUCUGUCAAAGACGUUUUAUUUUCACUGCAUUCAAAUUCAAUAUACUGUGGAUUCAUUAUAUGUUGUGUACCAAUUUACACAGGUAUAUCAAUACCACGAAUUCAAAUGUUUAACAAAAUAUAAAUAUUCUAUAGCUUUACAUGUAAAAUUUGGCAAAACCAUUAAAUCAUAUAGCCACAAAAAUUGAUUCCACUUAAAAUAAACG